rnacentral:rRNA from 1 species
UACGGGGGGGGCAAGCGUUGUUCGGAAUUACUGGGCGUAAAGGGCUCGUAGGCGGCCAACUAAGUCAGACGUGAAAUCCCCAGGCUUAACCUGGGAACUGCGUCUGAUACUGGAUGGCUUGAGAUUGGGAGAGGGAUGCGGAAUUCCAGGUGUAGCGGUGAAAUGCGUAGAUAUCUGGAGGAACACCGGUGGCGAAGGCGGCUCACUGGCCCGAUACUGACGCUGAGGCACGAAAGCGUGGGGAGCAAACAGG